GAGUUUUAAAAGAUGAUCGCUGCCUGAUUAAUUCAGGGGGAGGAAAGUCCGGGCUCUACAGGGCAAAGUGCCAGAUAACGUCUGGGGAGCGUGAGCUUACGACAAGUGCAACAGAAAAUAUACCGCCGACAGGUAAGGGUGAAAUGGUGCGGUAAGAGCGCACCGCAUAAUUAGUAAUAAUUAUGGCAUUGUAAACUCCACUUAGAGCAAGACCAAAUAGGCUUCUUACAUAUGGCCCAUAUUUGAAGCGGGUAGGUUGCUUGAACUAAUAAGUGAUUAUUAGUCUAGAUGAAUGAUCAUCACCAUUUCUUAAUGGUACAAAACCCGGCUUAUUGUUAAAACUCUCAA
rnacentral:RNase_P_RNA from 1 species